rnacentral:lncRNA from 1 species
GCGGAGAAUGUCAAGAGUGGGAAGGUGCUGCUCAGCCUGAGCGACGAGGACCUGGAGUUGGGCCUUGGUGUGUGCAGCUCCUUGCACAGGCGCAAGCUCCGACUGGCCAUUGAGGACUACCGAGAUGCCGAGGCGGGCCGCAGCCUGUCCAAAGCCGCCGACCUGGACCAUCACUGGGUGGCCAAGGCCUGGCUGAACGACAUUGGCCUGUCCCAGUAUUCCCAGGCCUUCCAGAACCACCUGGUCGAUGGGAGGAUGCUGAACUCGCUGAUGAAGAGGGACCUGGAGAAGCAUCUGAACGUGUCCAAGAAGUUUCACCAAGUUAGCAUCUUGCUAGGGAUCGAGCUGCUGUACCAAGUGAACUUCAGCAGGGAGG